ACGCUCGACACCUACGUGAGGCAGCAGUGGGGAAUAUUGCACAAUGGGGGAAACCCUGAUGCAGCAACGCCGCGUGAAGGAAGACGGUUUUCGGAUUGUAAACUUCUGUUCUUAGUGAAGAUAGUGACGGUAGCUAAGGAGCAAGCCACGGCUAACUACGUGUCAGCAGCCGCGGUAAUCUGAGCGGCUGGCAAGGC
rnacentral:rRNA from 1 species